rnacentral:lncRNA from 1 species
UUCUAGUAAUAUUAGCAGGGAUACACAUCUUUCAAUGUUGGAGGGUUAUGCUUAACAUUCUGCAAACAGUCACUCUUAUGAGAACGAAGAAAUGCAAGAAGUGAGAGCAUGUUGAGUGCUCUGCAAUUUGAUGGUGUUUCUUUAAAUUGUUGUUUAUGGAUCUAACUAUCACUUAUUUUUCUUUGCAGUUACAUGAUGGGAGUCAAGCAUCUAAAGCCGAGGGUGAGCGAUAUCUCAUAUUUACUCCAACCACAUACAUAUAAUUUGUUAUUUCCUUCUUUUUAAUUAGUCGUUAGAUGAGUUUUUCAAUUUUUUGUAGGAUUUAUAUGAGUUGUUGAAUUGACAUUUUUUCAUUGAAUGGGAAAAUUCUGGCCUUAUUUUUCUUUUGCUUUGGCUUAUAUUUUGUUUCAUUUACUUUAUUCGUGCCAUGUUAUUCAUCUUUGUGUUCUUAAGAUUGAUGUGAUUACAUUUUCAGGUUCAAACUCAUUAAAUAAAGAAAGUUGUUCCAAGGUUGAAUUAUGUUUGAUCCAUCAUAUGAUUAUCCAAAGAUCAGGAUAAGGGAAGCUUCUUCAACGAGUUACCAGAGGGUAAAACAUGUCCAGAAGCACAACAGGCAGCAGUCUCUCUUGCUCGGACGUUGGACCAAUAGUUCUGCAUCAUUUAUUUCUGAUCGUGGAAGAGGUACUUCAACUUAUGCUGGUGGUGGAUUAUCUCUUAGUUCAUCUGUUACUUUGUUGUCUUCAGAUAAGUAACACUUAAUCCACAUGCUAAUGUGAACUACAUGAUAAGAAAAUUUGAUGCAUGACAUUCAUAAUUUAGUGUCAUCCUGUGGUGCAUCAGACUUACAUGCUUAAUUUGUCUUUUCCUAUCUCUCUUACUCGUUUUCAUAUUCUUUCAGGAAUUCAAAUUGAAUGCAAAUGCUAAGAGCUUCAUCCCAUUUCAGACGUUUAGGCCAUCUCCUAUUGUUGCAGAUAAUUUCAUUAAGCUCUUUGGUUGGGUGGUUUCCACUAAAUGUUAGAAAUAUCAAGGAAAUUUAUGUUUUAACUAUAACUUGUAAUUACUCGAUUUCUGAUUUCCCAUUAGAUAUACGUGCAUGUGAGGCAAUAGAGUAGGAUUCAUUUAUUACUUUUUUAUUUCUUACUUGUAUAGAGCACUUCGACUUUUAAUUUAAAUCUUAUAUCAUUUCAUAUUAUAAAAA